rnacentral:rRNA from 1 species
AUGCAAUUGUCAAUUACAUUGGUGCAGCUAUGGAACGAGUGGGAAAUCAGGUUGCUUGUGCUUCUCAGUUUUACACUGCAACUAUUCCUCUUCUUCACAGGGGGGCGUAGGAGACGAAGCAGUAACAAAUUGCUAAGAUUCUCUAUUUGGUUGGCUUAUUUGGGGGCAGACAUGAUUGCAUUUUAUACUCUUGGUCAGAUCUCUCGACUUGGAGAUUCUAUCAAUAGUAGGGAUCCGUUUACAGGGACCAUGUCUUUGGCAUUCUUUUGGGCACCUUUCCUUCUUGUUCAUCUUGGCGGACAAGACACUAUUACUGCCUUUUCAUCUGAGGAUAACAAUUUGUGGCUAAGGCAUUUUCUGAAUCUUUUAGUUGAAGUCAGCCUUGCAUUAUAUGUCUUUUGGAAAUCAAUGGGGAACAACAACCAGCUUUUAGUUCCAGCCAUGUUUGUCUUUGUUUCUGGAAUAAUUAAGUACUGGGAGAGGAUAUGGGCUCUCAAGUAUGGGAGUAAGACUGACCUUAAUAGCACCACUAGUAACUAUGAAAAUAAUCAAUUGCCACUACUAAGUGUUGAGCAAGAUAGAUACUGUGACAUUGUUUGCUAUGCUCUCCGCACGGCACGCUAUAUUCGGGGAUUCCUUGCAGGGCGGGCGACCUUUCAGAUGGGGCAUGAAAUUCGGUUUACAUUAGUAGAAUAUUUUGGAAGAUUUGCAGAGCAUGGGGCAAAACUUAAGAUCAUUGAGAUGGAGCUCGCUAUUAUAUAUGAUGAUCUCUACACCAAGGCUGUUCUGUUUAGGACAUGGACAGGUAGCAUAUUUCGUUGUGUUGUGCAUAUCUCUACAGUGGUUGCUUUUGUGCUCUUCUACGCAAACAGGAAAGAAAGCUAUAGCAGAGUGGAUAUUGCAGUAACAUAUGCAUUACUCAUUGGUAGCACUUUUAUGGAACUUGUUUCAAUUAUUAUGGCAAUGGUAUCACCAUGGGCAUGGGCAUUCUUGAAAGCACGGAAUUUUCACUGGCUUACCAACUUGUUCUGGUCUAUCUUCAACAUUGUUCAGCCGGAGAAGAGGCUGUGGUGGUCAGAUUCCAUGGGGCAAUAUAACCUUCUGCGCUCCAUAUUCUGA